rnacentral:pre_miRNA from 1 species
CAAGUACCCCCUCCGUCCGGAAUUACUUGUCAUCAAAAUGGAUGUGUCUAGAACUAAAAUACAUCUAGAUACAUCCAUUUGAAUGACAAGUAUUUUCGGACGGAGGGAGUACAAG